rnacentral:rRNA from 1 species
UACGUAGGGGGCUAGCGUUGUCCGGAAUCAUUGGGCGUAAAGCGCGUGUAGGCGGUCCGGUAAGUCCGCUGUGAAAGUUGGGGGCUCAACCCUCGAAUGCCGGUGGAUACUGUCGGGCUAGAGUGCGGAAGAGGCGAGUGGAAUUCCUGGUGUAGCGGUGAAAUGCGCAGAUAUCAGGAAGAACACCCGUGGCUAAGGCGGCUCUCUAGUACGGUACUGACGCUGAGACGCGAAAGCGUGGGGAGCGAACAGG